rnacentral:rRNA from 1 species
AUUGAACGCUGGCGGGAGGCCUAACACAUGCAAGUCGAGCGAGCGGCGGGUGGGUGAGUAAUGUCUGGGAACCCGCUAGAUGGAGGGGGAUAACCACAGGAAAAGGUAAUAACUACUGCAUAUCAUCCGACGUGUCCCGAUGGGACUAGUUAGUGGGUGGGGUAAUGACCCACCUAGGCGACGAUCCCUAGCUGGUCUGAGAGGAUGACCAGCCACACUGGAACUGAGACACGGUCCAGACUCCUACGGGAGGCAGCAGUGGGGAAUAUUGCACAAUGGGCGCAAGCCUGAUGCAGCCAUCCCGCGUGUGUGAAGAAGGCCUUCGGGUUGUAAAGUACUUUCGGCGGGGAGGCGUUACCCGCAGAAGAAGCACCGGCUAACUCCGUGCCAGCCGCCGCGGUAAUUC